rnacentral:lncRNA from 1 species
AAUUUUGAGCUUGGUCAAUGAAAUAAAUGUAGUUACCCAAUUUCACAUGACCACUUUGUACCAAAAGUAAAUAGUCUAAUUAUAUAUUUUCCCUUAUGAAAAAAGUAAACUUUUCCAGAAAACACUUCGAGUAUGAGAAAUAUCUAAGAUGGCUUUAAAAUUUGUAUCUACCGUUGAUUAUGAAAUUUGUAUCUCAAAAAAUGGUAUAUAUUUUAUCGACCUGUGAGAUAUAUGUAUGAGGGAGCACUAACUAGUGUGCGGGCAACUAGUGGGGAGAAGUGAGUUCCCAAUGACAGAGGG